rnacentral:lncRNA from 1 species
AUGGACGAUUUUCUUUUACAUCCUAGGAGCGUCUAUAUCCUGGUAGUUACAGUUCAAUUACUUGUCCUUUUGUCCCAGGAAGACAGAAAUGAGGCUCCUUUAGGCUUCCCUGCUCCCUUCGGUCACUCCCUUGAUUCUAGUUUCUGGUCCAAGGAGCUUGUCUCAGGCUCUGCCCUUUGCAAGAUUGCAGUGACUGGCAAAAAGAAUGACCUCAUCUCUUUGGCUCAAGUUGUCAGCUUGCCUAAUCUCUGGAAUCUUCUGUGGCUCAGGAGAGAAGACCUUCCAGCAGGACUCAUACCUGCCUUCAUGAGGAGCAAAUGUGUCGUGAUGCUGAGUCCCUGCUGACUGUGAACAUAGAGCUUUGUAGCACAUCCACCUCCAGGCUGAAGGGAGUUAGACGAGCAUGGGUAGCAACUUCUCCUAAAGUGAGAGCUCUCUCUCUGACAUACCGUUAGAGGCUCAGCAAAUAUCAGCAGAAUUGUCUGCUUUCUGUUUCUCCCCAGCCUCUUGUCCUCCAGAAGCUGGCUUCCUAGGCUAGCACAGCCUGUUUUAGCUUCUUUCUUACCUGACUCCCCUGGACUUGACUUCUUGCCUCCUUGACUUCUGGACAUUGCCUCAAGAUCAGUCUCCUGUUCUGAAACUCAACCUUUGCUCACAUACACAUGCAAUCUGUAGACUGUCUCUGGACAGACGGAUUGAGGCCCUGGUUCCUCUGAUGCAGAACAGCCUGGCCAUCUGCCCAAACCCUCACAGACAGUGGUCCUAGUUUAGGGUAUCAGUUUGGACACUACUUGACAGCUCUGCUGUUCCCAGCCGCUCCCAGCUGCAGCCACUAGAUGCCUUCCAGCAGGAGAUGCAGGCUUCCUCAUUUCCUCCUGUGCAUCCUGACAUAAGCAGUGCUUUUCAAUGUUUAAUGUCAAAAGACUCACCUGGGGAUCUGGCCAAAAUGAUAGGUCUGGGGUGAGGCCAGAGAGCCAGCAGUUCUAAGACGUUCCCAGGGGAUAUCAAUGUUCAUUAACUCCACUUUGAGUAAUAAGAAAGAGAAUGUGUAUAGACCAGCAGCCUCAGCCUCAUCUGGGGAUGGGAUCUGGAAUUAGGUUCUCGUUUUUCACUUAUUAGUACACAUUUAUUAAACACUCUUUCUCCUGCAGCAGUUGCUAUGCUGCUAAGACCCAUUCUUUGCUUUCAGGGAGCUUACAAUCUAACAGAAUAAUAUUUUGAGUGUAUAUACUUUCUAUAGCUUAAUUCUCACAAGAUCCCUAUGAAAUCAUGAUUAGUGCCACUUUAUACAUAGGGAAACAAUCUUAGAG